GAUGAAGAACGCAGCGAAAUGCGAUAAGUAAUGUGAAUUGCAGAAUUCAGUGAAUCAUCGAAUCUUUGAACGCACAUUGCGCCCUCUGGUAUUCCGGGGGGCAUGCCUGUUCGAGCGUCAUUAUAACCACUCAAGCUCUCGCUUGGUAUUGGGGCUCGCGGUUCCGCGGCCCCUAAAAUCAGUGGCUGUGCCUGUCGGCUCUACGCGUAGUAAUACUCCUCGCGAUUGAGUCCGGUAGGUCUACUUGCCAGCAACCCCCAAUUUUUACAGGUUGACCUCGGAUCAGGUAGGGAUACCCGCUGAACUUAAGCAUAUCAAUAAGCGGAGGA
rnacentral:misc_RNA from 1 species